rnacentral:lncRNA from 1 species
UGGAGAAGAACACAUAAUUGUAUUCACAACAAAUCACAAAGACAAGCUUGAUCCUGCUCUGCUAAGACCUGGUAGAAUGGACAAGCAAAUUCACUUGUCAUAUUGCAACUUUUCUGCUUUGAAGCAAUUGGUUGUUAACUACCUUUGCAUUACUCAACAUGAACUCUUUGAAGAGAUUGAAGUGCUUCUAGGAGAAGUUCAAGUUACUCCAGCUGAAAUUGCAGAAGAGCUAACAAAGGACUGUGAUGCAACAGAAUGUCUAGAAGACCUUAUCAAAUCCCUCCAAGCCAAGAAAAUGAUCAAGGAAGACAUUAAUAAUGAAGAAAAUGUCAAAGAAGAACAUGAACUAGGCAGCUAUGAAGAAGGGACUGCGGCAGACUCCGACACAGGCUCCAACACGAACACAUGACAUGACACUGACACGAACACGUCGGCACAACUAAUUUAAAAAAACAUAGAACAACGAUAAGGCUACCUGAACUGCCAGAGAGCAAACAAAAGAUUUUUUGGGGACUCUUUAAUUACUUUACUUGGAGGCAUGGCCGGUCUCAAGAUUGUUGGUGUUAUUAAUUAUGUAAAAGAUGUAAAGCUCUUUGUAAAUCUGUGUAACUUGUGUGUCUUGUGUGAUCACACCUCAUAUAUUUAUACUAGUAUUUACAAUCAAUACAUUGAAUGCUUUAAUUACUUAGCACUAACUUGGUAAGUUGUAUAGUCUAGAGUUACCAACAAUCAGUCUAGAGACUUCUGUAAUUCUAGCAUUCAAUUUUACUACAUGAUUGCGAUUGUGAUUUCAGUUUUACUGAUUAAAUCGUAUAUGAUUAUAUAUUUUAAUUUGAAUUAAUAACGGAGCAUAUAAAUAUAAAUUAUAAUCAUUUAGAACGAUGAAGAAAUUUUUUUAUCAAAUAAAUUAUUCAAAUAUAAGAUUUCAAACUGAAAUCAAUAUUUUAUUUUUUCACUAAUCAUAAAAUUUAUUUGUGUAGUACAAUUUGUGCGUUGCAACAACACACAGGUUUGUAAUCACACUUGCCACCCAAAGUAUAGCCAUUUCUUAAACAAUAAUUACCACAAUCUUGACCUUUACUUAGACAUGGCCCUUUGCCAAUGCAAUAAUCAUAAGGAGGUAUUCCAUCAACUGCUCCUCCUACAAUCAAUAUAGUAAUGUCACAAGAUGCAUGUCAGCAUAUCAAAUAUUAAAUCUAACAAGUUUUAUUAUUGAUCUAAUUUGUAAAAAAAAUAGUUGUAGAUGAAGUAAAGAUUUUACCUAUUGUCAAAACGGAAGCAAUACAUAAAAUUGCAAUGAAAAAAUGCACCCGGUUGAUACAUGUUGUCAUAUUCUCUUGAAAGAUGAACAAACAAUGCUACAAGGAGCUAUUUAUAGAGUGUUCUAGGGAAACUAUUAUAAGUUUUUUUCUGUAUUAAAUUAAAAUCUAAAGUUUUUUUUUGACUAAAAAGAUCUAUACUUUUUUUUUUGACUAAAAAGAUCUAUACAUUUAAAACGAAAUCUCAUAUUAAUAUUAAAAAAUAAAUAAUUAAGAUUUUUAAAAGGAAAAUGUUAAAACUAAAAUAAAAAAUUAUCAUCACAUAUGGAGAGCACUGUCAGGCAUGUACGUUUGAGCGGAUCAUCCUUUACGUCGGAUGGUUCAGAGACGGUAAUCUAAAGGUGAAAUAUCUGUCGGAGCGAGUGUUGCGUUAGUUUGGGUACUAGAAGACCGUCCCUAGACAUCCUCAUGAGAGUGCACCUCCCCAGGAGAUCUUAGUGGAUAUCAACAGUUGGGUCACCGUGCACUGCAGGGAGUGGAGGUGGAAGAGGGAUACAUCAGAUGGUUUUAUCUCGUCUCUCUUCCACGCAUGAUUCUUCCAAACCAGGAGGUUCAGGUGCCGAGCCCACCAGAUCAGAGGUCGUUGAUGAGAUUGUUGUUAAGGAGGAUGGAGAGCAUGGGUUCUAAGAGUUGGGUGGAAGGUUGGGCCGUAUCAGAGACCAUAUAUAUGUUGUUAUGUCCAGUGGUGUGGUGCCACAAGGGUCUGAGGCAUGACAAUAUUUGGAGGAUGUCUCGAGAGAGGUUUAUGGUGGAAAGGUUUAUCGUCGUAGGCAUAAUGUUGAAGGUGGCACGGGUGUAGUCAUUGGAUAAUUUUAAUUUUUUAUUAUGUGAUAUUUGAAUAAUUGGUGAGGUAACAUUUGGAUAAUUUUAUUUUUAUGUUCGAGUAAUAUUAUGUUUUGAAAAAUUAUGUUGUGUUGUUCAUUGUUGUUUUGAAUUAUAUUUUCUGCUUGAACAUAUGGUCAAAUGCAUGAUUAUGUCGUUUUGAAGUAAUCUAAUGCGUCAAAUGCAUGUUUUAGCCCAAAACAGUCAAGUCUGUCUCUGUGCUGAUGCAGUUUGAAUUAUAUAAUUCGGAAACAUCCUUUUCCACCAUAUAUAUGUUCACUUCCUACAGGGAGUUUGACACAUUUUGGAUUAUAUAAUCCGGAAUGUGUAAAAUCAGUUUAGAUUAUAUAAUCCGAACUCAAUCAAUGCAAUUUAGCAUAAUGAUCCUUCAGGGUGCCAGAAGCUCCAAAAGGCUCGAAAAGUUUCGGAUUAUAUAAUUCAAAAGUAGUUCAAAUUAUAUAAUCCUGAUGAUGGUAUUUUUGGAGAAAAAAAAUAGGACGCGCUAGAAACCAGCAGGAUGGGAAAAAUAUGUUUGCAUUCUAUUAGCUCUUUAAUCUUCCUAUGUAGGCAUUGAACCUUUUGUGAAGUUUCAAAUCCAAUUAAUAACUCUGUUCAUGACUAUCUUAAUUAAACUACUUAUUUCUGCUAAUAAAUCCUCUUAAUUGUAAUACAACUCCCUCCAUCCUAAAAUACACCAAGUAGAUGUAAUACACCAAUACAUUGUAACUUGUAAGAGUACUUUAGUAAACAUAUUAUUUUCUCUACUUCAUUCAUAGAAAAUUCCACAUACUUGAUAAAGAAAUCAAGAGUUUUUUUUUUUUUUUUUUUUUUUUUUUAAGAAUGGAAAUCAAGAGUUAAAUAUGAUGUCUACCAAGUCAACACACUUGAAAUAAAAAAUAAAGUCGUUUUCACACUGUUCGAGCAAUGUAAAAGCAUUGAUUAACAUAAAGAGUUGUAGAUGUUAUUUUCAUAUGAGACUAGUGCCAUUGAAAUUAUAACAUCAACUUUUGAAAUGCUAUGAACAUCUCAUAACCCGAUUCCAACGUUUAGCGGACCAAAAGUAUCCUCCAAGUUAUAAAGAAGUCAAAAUAAAAUGUUGAGCAAUAUUCAAACUUUGAACUAUAUAUUUUGAGUUUUAUACAAUUAGUUUUAGGAUGAGAGUAGGUCCAUCUGAAAGCUAAAUCAAUGUUUACAAUUCGUAUGAAGAACUUGAGUCAAAAUUAUAUCGAUUUGUGUCAAAUUGGUGUGUUAGAAACUAAGUAUAGAUUAAUGUUUUUUGACUCAUACAUUUUAGGGUUAAUUAAAUUUUUAUCCCUAUAAAUAUUCACAGUUUAGUUUUUAGUCCCUACAAAAUAAAAUCACACUUUUUAGUCCCUAUGACAUUUUCCUUAAACAUUUUAGGGACCAAAAUUGUUGAUGAAAAUUUUUGACGGGGACUAAAAAUGCUGAUCAGAACAAUGUUCACGGACACUCGUAAUUUGAUGAUAUUUCUUUAUUUAUUUUUUUUACUAGAAAGGAAAUUAAAUCUGAAAUGAAUUCUCCCAACAUUAAAAGAAAGACUAUUUGCUCCUAGAAAAGUCAAUGAGCUUGCUGUGCACGUUCCGUCAAAAACAAAAAACUUGCUAUGCACAUUAUUCAUGGUAUAGUUUCAACUAUAUAUAACUUUAUACAACUAUGGAAAGAAACAUAUCUUGAACCAUAUCAUUCAAGAUCCAAACUACAAACCAUCUUUACUCCCUCACAUUAAGAAACUAUCUUCAAUCAUUGUUCUGAUCUUUUGCAGGAAUCGAAUUUACUGCAGUCAGAUCGCAACAAUGAUCGACAGCAAGACAGUUUUAUCGGCAAUGGCCUCUAUUGUGCUAGUGCGAAACAUCACGAAAGAAGUCGUUCCUCAUGAGAUCCUAAACUUUGUACAACCAUGUUUUUCACCAAUUCUCAGCGCAAUUUACCAUAGUCAUUGAAGAAUUUCAAGGGAUGGCAAAAAACCAAGUAUUUGAGGCUGCUGAAACCUAUCUAGGAACUAAAGCAACAGUCUCAACAGAAAGAGUUAAAGCAAGCAAAUCUCAUGAUCACAAGAAACUUUCAUUCAAUAUUGAUAGAGGUGAAGAAGUGAGUGAUGAUUUUGAAGGUAUUACAGUAAAGUGGAAAUUAAUAUGCAUACAAGAAGAUGGAUCACGAAUUCGACAUAAUGAUAUGUACACCUCAUCCGUGUCAGAAAUUAGAUCCUAUGAACUAACUUUUCACAAGAAACACAAGAACACGAUCUUCGAUUCAUAUUUCCCUUAUGUGAUGGAGAUAGCUAAACAAAUUAAACAAGGAAACAUGGCUAUCAAGAUUCUCUCAACUGAACAUGGAUGCUGGAGCCAUGAACCUGUCAAGUUCAACCAUCCAAUGAGUUUCAACACUCUUGCAAUUGAUAUAGAACUUCGAAGGGAAAUUAUGAAUGAUUUGGACAAUUUUGUCAAAGCCAAAGAGUUUUAUAGAAGAACAGGAAAAGCUUGGCAACGCGGUUACUUGUUGUAUGGUCCACCUGGUACUGGAAAGUCUAGCUUGAUUGCAGCCAUGGCUAACUAUCUCAACUAUGAUAUCUUUGACUUGGAUCUCACUGAUGUAGGGGAUAAUAAGAGCUUGAAGCAACUUAUCAUUGGUAUGUCCAACCGUUCUAUACUUGUGAUAGAGGACAUUGAUUGCACUAUUAACCUGCAGAACCGAGAAGAAGAUGAAAAUGAAGAAGUUGUUGAUAAUGGAUACAAUAAGGUAUGUAUUUUUCUUUAAAUAUAUCAUUCAAAGUUCCAUUUAUACUGAAAUUCCAUAGGUUUAGAAGAAUAUGGCAUGGGUGAAUCUAGCUGCUAAGGACUAAUGUUUGUUGGUAAUUUUUCUACAGAUGACACUUUCGGGACUAUUGAAUGCAGUAGAUGGUCUUUGGUCGUGCUGUGGAGAAGAACACAUAAUUGUUGUCACAACAAAUCACAAAGAAAGGCUUGAUCCUGCUCUAUUAAGGCCUGGUAGAAUGGACAAGCAAAUUCACUUGUCAUAUUGCAACUUUUCUGCUUUUAAGCAAUUGGUUAUUAACUACCUUUGCAUUACUCAACAUGAACUCUUUGAAAAGAUUGAACUGCUUCUAGGAGAAGUUCAAGUUACUCCUGCUGAAAUUGCAGAAGAGCUAACAAAGGAUGUUGAUGCUACAGAAUGCCUACAAGACCUUAUCAAAUCCCUCCAAGCCAAGAAAAUCAUGAAGGAAGAGAUAAAAAAUGAAGAAAAUAUCAAAGAAGAACAUGAACUAGGUAGCUAUGAAGCACGGACUCUGACGAGGACUCCGACACGGACACCUGACAUGACACUGACACGAAC